rnacentral:lncRNA from 1 species
CUCCUUUGUCAUAAAGCCAGGUGUGGUGAUGACAGGCAAGCCGCUACAUCCCAGGCCCAGCAAGCAGACCUGGCACAUUGGCUACCACAUGAGGCCAACCUUGGGCACAGGGUAAGGGCUGGGCCUUUCUGGUCCUACAAAUCUGAACAAUCUGUAAGUUUAAUUUUGUCACCAUGGCAAGGCAAAUCAAAGGGACUCUGAGGAAGCCACACAGAAUGAAAGAACAGGGAACAACUUCGCUGUCACAGAUAAAACAAGAACUGCAGUUCGUGAAUAAUACCAGGACUCCUGAGUGAACCAGUAACCAUUAAUAUUCUUGCCAAUAGUAAAGUAUGCUGUACAUGGUAAUAACUGCAGAUUAGUACUUGCUGGCUGGGUUUAAAAGGGACAUGACAGUUCAUCUCAAUGUUGAUUGAAGAUUAAUAUGACUGUGUAUUUCAUAUAAAUCUAUUAACUCUGCCAGUGGCUUACUAUUUCAUAGUCAC